UUAGGAAUCUUGCGCAAUGGGAGAAAUCCUGACGCAGCGACGCCGCGUGAGGGAUGAAGGCCUUUGGGUCGUAAACCUCUUUUAGUCGGGACGAUACAAGACGGUACCGACAGAAAAAGCACCGGCUAACUCUGUGCCAGCAGCCGCGGUGAUACAGAGGGUGCAAGCGUUAUUCGGAAUUACUGGGCGUAAAGGGCGCGUAGGCCGUUCAGCAAGUCUGAUGUGAAAGCCCCCGUUUUAAGCGGGGAAGUGCAUUAGAUACUACUGGACUAGAAUGUAGGAUGGGGGAGUGGAAUUCAUGGUGUAGAGGUGAAAUUCGUAGAUAUCAUGAGGAACAACUGAGGCGAAGGCGACUCCCUGGACUAUUAUUGACGCUGAGGCGCGAAAGCGUGGGGAGCAA
rnacentral:rRNA from 1 species